rnacentral:rRNA from 1 species
GACGUAGGGCGCGAGCGUUGUCCGGAUUUAUUGGGCGUAAAGAGCUCGUAGGCGGCUUGUCGCGUCGUUCGUGAAAACCUGGGGCUCAACUCCAGGCUUGCGGGCGAUACGGGCAGGCUAGAGUUCGGUAGGGGAGACUGGAAUUCCUGGUGUAGCGGUGAAAUGCGCAGAUAUCAGGAGGAACACCGGUGGCGAAGGCGGCAUCCUGGACCAAUUCUGACGCUGAGUGAGCGAAAGCCAGGGGAGCAAACGGG